UGGUAUUUCAGUGCUUAGGGGCCCUUUGUGGGGCUAAUUACAUGGGACAAGCUAGCACAAGCUAAUUUCUAUAAGUAGAAAAUAGUUACUGCCUGCUAUUGGCAUUUCAUCUUUUGGGGUAAAAGUAAACUAAUAAGUGAAUAACGAACACUGCUAAACACAUCCUAAUUGCCACCACUAGCCAUCCCCCCAUCCCCACAUCCUUAUUAAUAUCAAGGUUAUUAAAAACUCUCUGCGGGGCUGAAGCAGUUAAGAAAAUAGAAGGAAGUUUGAUAAAACACCCACGUUUGGC